GGAGUUGUGGCUCAGUGGUAGAGCAUUUGCCUCCCAUGUAUGAGGCCCUGGGUUCAAACCUCAGCACCA
rnacentral:tRNA from 1 species